GGGGUUGUAGCUCACUGGUAGAGUACUUGCCUGACAUGCAUAAGGUCUUGGGUUCAAUACCUAGCACCA
rnacentral:tRNA from 1 species